CUCCGCCUCCCGGGUUCACGCCAUUCUCCCGCCUCAGCCUCCCUCAGCGUCCGGAGUAGCUAGGACUACAGGCGCCCGCUACCACGCCCGGCUAAUUUUUUUGUAGUUUUAGUAGAGACGGGGUUUCACCGUGUUAGCCAGGAUGGUCUCCAUCUCCUGACCUCGUGAUCCGCCCGCCUCGGCCUCCCAAAGCGUUGGGAUUACAGGAGUGAGCCACCGCGCCCGGCCGAUUCUUGAAGAAACUGCUCUCAUAAGCUAAGGUUCCUUAUGAUUCUGCAAGGAAGAGAAGACUAAAGCAAAUCACUGUCUGAAAACAUAACAGCUGGCUAAAGCUGGAGUGCAGUGGCAUGAUCUCGGCUCACUGCAACCUCCGCCUCCCGGGUUCAAGUGAUUCUCCUGCCUCAGCCUCCCAAAUAGCUGUGAUUACAGGUCACAGUGUCCAUGUAACUAACUCCUGGUUAAGAGGAUAUGGAUAGAAGGCACAUGUUCAACUUCUGGCUUCUGUCCUUGAAAAGUGUGAUGAUUCCAUCCUUUGCUGUCUUCCUUCCCGCUGACUGGAAUGUGGACUUGGUAGUGAGCUACCUUGGACUAUGUGGAUGAAGACAAAGAUAAAAGGAACCAAGGACUCUGAUGAUUCUGUAGAGAAGAGGAACCGUAGCUGCUCAAACGUUCAUGUGAAAGAAGAAUAAACUAUCAGAUUUA
rnacentral:lncRNA from 1 species